AGCAGUAGCCACGGUAAUACGAAGGGUGCAAGCGUUACUCGGAAUUACUGGGCGUAAAGCGUGCGUAGGUGGUGGUUUAAGUCCGUUGUGAAAGCCCUGGGCUCAACCUGGGAAUUGCAGUGGAUACUGGGUCACUAGAGUGUGGUAGAGGAUAGUGGAAUUUCCGGUGUAGCAGUGAAAUGCGUAGAGAUCGGAAGGAACAUCUGUGGCGAAGGCGACUAUCUGGGCCAACACUGACACUGAGGCACGAAAGCGUGGGGAGCAAACAGGAUUAGAUACCCCGGUAGUCCCUGUCUCUUAUAA
rnacentral:rRNA from 1 species